UGCACAAGACUUCCCUGGGUCUUUAGAAAGUGUUACCCCUUAUUUCAAACUCCAUAAAUGCAAAUCGACUGGCCAACUGACCUAGAGUUCCACACCCCUUAUCUAGAAAGCUGAGGGACAUGUUUGAGCAUAUAUGGGAAUCCUGUUGCACUCCACAGCUCCCACUGCCAUCCCCCCAGUUACAGGCCACUUGGUUAUGAUGAUCGGUCCAGACUAAGUUUUGUGGAUGAUGGAUGAUGAUGGCUGCAUGAAAGCCCUUAAGCCCCUCUUGAGUUCGAGACCACAGCUGUUAGGAAUGAUGCUAAGGCUCAAAUCCAUGCAAAGAUCAAGUAUCUUUUCUUCCUCCGAAUUCUCUCUUUCCUUUGCUUAGAAAAUGAUCUAUUCUUCUAUGAAAGGCGGCAGUAAUGCAUUCUACCAAACAUGCUUUAUGAAUUUUUUAUCUGAACUUUCACAGUCUCUAACACUGACAGAAAGCCUUUGUUAUUCUUUCUCACGUCUAGGCCAAGUCAGUCCUAAAAUUGAUCGACACGAGCCCUCAGAACAAAAGGAGAGGACGGUGUGCACACUGAGUGGUAACUUGACGCUCACCAUCGAAGCUGAGAUCUUCCCCAUCUUUUACCAGGACAGUCACGGCAACGGGUUCUUCACUGAUAGCUGACCCCCAGUCUCUCCCUUCUCCCAUUCUCCCUCCACCUAGAUUUGAACUGAUAUUAUGAAACACAGACAGGUUUUUAGGUGUGAUCAUAUCCACUCAGUAAACUCCAGUUUCUAUUGCUCUAAAGAUUAAAAAUAAACUUCUCUAUUAAACUCACUAAACUUACAACUUGACUCCAACCUAUUUUCCCAUAUUUAUUAUUUCCAUAUU
rnacentral:lncRNA from 1 species